GAGAACUGAACACAAGAUUAGUCGAAUGAAGGGGUAACGCCCUGAAAGGCUAUCCUAAUACUCCGACUGGCAUCAAUGUGAGCAAACACUAAGGUGUCAGACGCUCGGUGAAGUCGGCAGAGAGAUACCGUAACCGAUUGGUCGAAAGUCACUCAGAGGUGAGUGAUGUAUCCUAUAUGCCGGGGUCUAUAAA
rfam:Clostridium perfringens E str. JGS1987 gcontig_1106202897982, whole genome shotgun sequence.